rnacentral:rRNA from 1 species
UUGUUGCGGUUAAAAAGCUCGUAGUCGAAUUUGUGUCCCGCGCCGCCGGUUCAUCGCUCGCGGUGUUUAACUGGCGUGUCCGCGGGACGUCCUGCCGGUGGGCUCAGCCUCCUCCUCUCUGGGGUGGGGGCGGCCCAACUUCAAAUCCCACCGCGGUGCUCUUUGCCGAGUGUCGAGGUGGGCCGGCACGUUUACUUUGAACAAAUUAGAGUGCUUAAAGCAGGCUAAAACUUCGCCUGAAUACUGUGUGCAUGGAAUAAUGGAAUAGGACCUCGGUUCUAUUUUGUUGGUUUUCGGAACUCCGAGGUAAUGAUUAAUAGGAACGGAUGGGGGCAUUCGUAUUGCGACGUUAGAGGUGAAAUUCUUGGAUCGUCGCAAGACGGACAGAAGCGAAAGCAUUUGCCAAAAACGCUUUCAUUGAUCAAGAACGAAAGUUAGAGGUUCGAAGGCGAUCAGAUACCGCCCUAGUUCUAACCAUAAACGAUGCCAGCUAGCGAUCCGCCGACGUUCCUCCGAUGACUCGGCGGGCAGCUUCCGGGAAACCAAAGCUUUUGGGUUCCGGGGGAAGUAUGGUUGCAAAGCUGAAACUUAAAGGAAUUGACGGAAGGGCACCACCAGGAGUGGAGCCUGCGGCUUAAUUUGACUCAACACGGGAAACCUCACCAGGCCCGGACACCGGAAGGAUUGACAGAUUGACAGCUCUUUCUUGAUUCGGUGGGUGGUGGUGCAUGGCCGUUCUUAGUUGGUGGAGCGAUUUGUCUGGUUAAUUC